rnacentral:tRNA from 1 species
CGGGGCGUAGCUCAGCCUGGUAGAGUACUAGCUUCGGGAGCUAGGUGUCGCUGGUUCAAAUCCAGUCGCCCCGACCA